rnacentral:rRNA from 1 species
CAGUCGCCGCGGUAAUACGUAGGGUGCAAGCGUUAAUCGGAAUUACUGGGCGUAAAGCGUGCGCAGGCGGUCCGUUAAGACAGAUGUGAAAUCCCCGGGCUUAACCUGGGAACUGCAUUUGUGACUGGCGGGCUAGAGUAUGGCAGAGGGGGGUAGAAUUCCACGUGUAGCAGUGAAAUGCGUAGAGAUGUGGAGGAAUACCGAUGGCGAAGGCAGCCCCCUGGGCCAAUACUGACGCUCAUGCACGAAAGCGUGGGGAGCAAACAGGAUUAGAUACCCCGGUAGUCCCUGUCCUUAUACA